GACGAACGCUGGCGGCGUGCUUAACACAUGCAAGUCGAACGGAAAGGCUCCAGCUUGCUGGAGUACUCGAGUGGCGAACGGGUGAGUAACACGUGGGUAAUCUGCCCUGCACUCUGGGAUAAGCCUGGGAAACUGGGUCUAAUACUGGAUAUGACCUUUCUCCUUAUGGGGUUUGGUGGAAAGUUUUUCGGUGUAGGAUGAGCCCGCGGCCUAUCAGCUUGUUGGUGGGGUGAUGGCCUACCAAGGCGACGACGGGUAGCCGGCCUGAGAGGGUGAUCGGCCACAUUGGGACUGAGAUACGGCCCAGACUCCUACGGGAGGCAGCAGUGGGGAAUAUUGCACAAUGGGCGGAAGCCUGAUGCAGCGACGCCGCGUGAGGGAUGACGGCCUUCGGGUUGUAAACCUCUUUCAGCAGGGACGAAGCGUAAGUGACGGUACCGGCAGAAGAAGCACCGGCUAACUACGU
rnacentral:rRNA from 1 species